AACUGCUCACAAUCGUAUUGCCGCCACGACGUCCGGUGUGUGUGUGUGUGUGUGUGUGUGAAGUGCGCGUAAUAUUAACAAAAAAAAUUUUAAUAAUUAAAAAAUAUCGAUUUGUUUAUCGUUUUUUUGUUAUUAAAUAGUUUUUUUUUUUCGUUUCCGGUGCUUUAUUAUUUAUUCGAGGUGCCGUUGAUUAGUACGAUAUCGGCAAUAAUAUUAAUACCGUUGUGGGUAACUCGCGAAUAAGUCGUUCACUUCGACGGCAAUAACAUUUUCGCACGUGUUUAUUCGACUUGGGGAAAUUCGAUGAUAUCCACUCGACCGGCUACGACGCAAUCUCAUUUGGCGUAUUGUGACUUUUUUGCCCUGUAAUUGGAUACUCACGAGGAAAUCUCCACGGGGAUGCCUUCGCAACCGCUAAUCCGUCCGAGAGGAUUAUUCGUACACAAAAAAAAUAAUUUUUCUCAUUUUGAUCACAUGCCCACACUGAUGGCGGAGUUUUUGAAAGACACCGAUGGAUCAGAUAUGCAAAACGUCAACUCGGUCAUUGAGAACUUCCAGAGAAAAAACAGCGUCGGGUCCAUGGGAUUGGCCACGACCACUACGGCCGCCGCCAACACUACAAACUCUGCAACAACCGCCGACCACCAGAUGGCCUCGAACGUUUCUUCCAAUUGUUCUCGUAUUGCUUCUUCGUCGUCUUCGUCAUCUUCUACUCAGCGUGUCCAUAGACAGGUAUCUGAAAUGACUACCACUUCAUCUUCUUCAGAGCUUCAAAAGUCAUCAUCGACUGCCUCUUCUAUGCUUGGUUUUGGAGGUAGCAUCGAUGAAAUAGACCAUAGCGCGAGUGGAAGUGUAUGUGGCGAUCCUCUGGUCACAUUCCCAGACUCACCUCCUGUAUUGGUAUCAAACGCAGCGCCAUCUUUGACUCGACCAUCGCCUAUGAAAAUUGUCACAUCAGAUGGUCAGACGUAUUCGACGGAAAGGCGAGUGUCUUCUUCGAAAACUGUUAAAGAAGCUUUUGAGUCGAGUAGUAGCAGUAGCAGUUCCAGCAGUAGCACUAGCAAUGCGGUGGCGGCCGAGUCGCAGGAAGCAAUACAUUCAGAUGUUCGGUUUCAAGAGAAACUAGCAGCUGCAAACACGUUGCGAACUAGACUGAACAUGGAAGAUAUAAGUAGUGCUGAGAAAAAUUUCAACAAGUUACAGAAAGCUUCAAGUGCACAACAGAGACAGACAAUCACAUCAUCUGGAAUGUUUAAUCAAGAGAAACAUAUUGCCCAGUCAUCUCAAUCAAAUUUCACUUUUACGAAAAAAGGAAUGUGCACAAGUUCAAAGGCUUUAAUGUCAACAGCUUCGUCACAGCUGUCUCAAAAAAUGAACAAUGGAUCAGGAUCUCCACCGUCAACUGUUAUUUUCAGAAAUGAAGACGACAUAUUGAAUAUGAAUUUUGACGAUCUAGAUCAACUUCGCGAAAUGGCUAAUACUCAAGACGUCGAAGUUGCCAUAAAUAAGUAUUCUAUGUACAUAGAAACGACCGUUAAAGGACUAACAACCGGAAAAUACGCAGAGACAAAGGGUCCUCUAGUGUUGAACAAAAUGUAUGAUAUGAUAUGUAAAGCAUGGGCUGUGCCAACGUACGGCCAUGAACUGGGAUAUUCCUUGUGUAAUACUCUUCGAGAUUGUGGUGGAAUGGACAUGCUCUUGAACAACUGUAUGUCAAAAGAUCAAAAAAUUCAAUUCUCUAGCGCUAGAUUAUUAGAACAAUGUUUAACUACAGAGAACCGUACUUAUGUCGUGGAUAACGGAUUGGAAAAGGUUGUACAUGUAGUAUGUGCAUACAAAAGUCAAGUCAGUUCAGCAGAUCAAUCUAAAGUUAGCACAGGACUUCUUGAACAUUUAUUUAAACACAGCGAAGUCACUUGUAGUGAUGUAAUAAGACUUGGUGGUCUCGAUGUACUAUUGUAUGAAUGUCGACGACGAGACAUCGAAACGUUGAGGCAUUGUGCUGGUGCAUUAGCGAACUUGUCACUUUAUGGCGGAGCUGAGAACCAAGAGCUGAUGAUUAAAAGAAAUGUUCCUACCUGGCUAUUUACUUUAGCAUUCAAUAAUGAUGAUAAUAUUAAAUACUAUGCGUUCCUAGCAAUUGCUGUGUUAGUUGCAAACAAAGAAAUCGAAGCAGCAGUUCUGAAAUCUGAGACUCUGGAUUUGAUUGAUCCUUUCGUUACUACGCACACACCUUCAGAAUUUGCUAAAUCAAAUUUGGCUCAUGCUCAUGGCCAAAGUCAUCACUGGUUAGAAAGACUUGUUCCAGUAUUGAGUUCGAUCCGAGAGGAAGCAUGUAACUUAGCUGCGUUUCAUUUUUGCAUGGAAGCAGGAAUAAAAAAACAACAAGGAAAGACGCAUCUGUUUAAAGAAAUUAAUGCGAUCGAACCUUUGAAAAAAGUUGCCAGUUGCCCUAAUGCGAUAGCAUCCAAAUUUGCGGCUCAGGCGUUAAGACUAGUUGGUGAGGUAGUACCCCAUAAACUUAGCCAACAAGUACCAUUAUGGUCACCAGAAGACGUAUCCCUUUGGGUUAAACAAAUAGGAUUCAGUGAAUGUGCAAGGAAUUUUGUAGAGAGUAGAGUUGACGGUGAUUUAUUAUUACAGUUGCACGAACAUAAUUUGAGAGACGACAUUGGAAUACACAAUGGAAUUAGACGAAGAAGAUUUAUGAGAGAAAUCCAAAAUUUAAAACGACUGGCUGAUUAUAGCAGUAGAGAUUCAACAAACUUGAAUUCAUUUUUACAAACUAUUGGCCCAGAGUUCUCUAUAUACACGUAUUCUAUGCUUAAUGCAGGUGUCGAUAAAGAAUCAAUAAGGUUUUUAUCGGAAGACCAGUUGGCAAAUGAGUGUGGAAUUUCAAAUAGUAUUCAUCGAUACAGGAUAUUAGAUUCAAUUAGAGAUAUUGAGACAAUGAUGGGUACAUCCUCAUUUGAAGAAAACAUAAACAAACAUCUAGAUGUUUUCAUAAGUUAUCGUAGGUCUACUGGAUCUCAACUAGCGAGCUUACUUAAAGUUCAUCUUCAACUCCGAGGAUUUUCUGUUUUCAUCGAUGUUGAAAGACUAGAAGCUGGGAAGUUUGACAAUAAUUUGCUACAAAGUAUCAAACAAGCAAAAAACUUCCUAUUAGUUCUCACGCCAAAAGCAUUGGACAGAUGUAUAGGCGAUAAUGAAUGUAAAGACUGGGUCCACAAGGAAAUUGUUGCCGCCUUGUCAGAUCAAUGUAAUAUAAUUCCAAUUAUAGAUAAUUUUUCAUGGCCAGAGCCAGAAACGUUACCUGAAGACAUGCGCAACGUAUGCAAAUUUAAUGGAGUCCGGUGGAUUCACGAUUAUCAAGAUGCAUGUGUGGAAAAACUAGAAAGAUUUAUGAGGGGUGAACUGAAUACUCGUGAUGGUGCGGCGAGCACAACGCUCUCGUUGGCUCGAUGUGGUGGUGGAGCAUCAACAAUCAAAAGUGAUCCUUCGGCACCAAAUACGCCUCUAAUUAUGGGUAGAUCACCUCCAACUUACCAAAGAACACAAUCCAAUGAAAGCGAGAGGGAAUUUGGUGGUAGUAAAGAUUGACUAGCGCCGAACACUUCCAGGUACACGGUAGACGUAAACUAUUAUAACGUCAACCCUUACUGUGUGCUUGUGACUGUCUAUAUUUUGAUCAUCUGUUUGAUUGCACAGCCUACAACAACUAAAUUAGAAUUAGGAAGUGUUCGAAAACACCUGGUUGGAGACCACCUAUGAGUCCUCCUAAAAAGAGAGGCAAUAACCAACGAGCUCGAAGUGUAGAAGGCUUACUAGAAACUACUGAACUCUCUGAAAAAGUGCAAGUUGAUACUCAGAUGAAGA